rnacentral:rRNA from 1 species
UAUGGAGGGGGCUAGCGUUGUUCGGAAUUACUGGGCGUAAAGCGCACGUAGGCGGAUCAGUCAGUCAGAGGUGAAAUCCCAGGGCUCAACCCUGGAACUGCCUUUGAUACUGCUGGUCUAGAGAUCAUGAGAGGUGAGUGGAAUUCCGAGUGUAGAGGUGAAAUUCGUAGAUAUUCGGAGGAACACCAGUGGCGAAGGCGGCUCACUGGCAUGAUACUGACGCUGAGGUGCGAAAGUGUGGGGAGCAAACAGG